AAAUAGAGAAGUGUUAUUCUCGACAAGAACAAAUUAUUAUUAUUAUUUUUUUUUACGAACAAAUGUAUUUAAUUUCACAACAUUGACAAUUACAUGUAUCAAAUUAACGGCCAAUUCUCAAGAAAUAUCGCGUUUCUUCUAGCUACUCUUGAACAAACAAGAUAUUGAAAACAAGUUCUCUAGAGAGGCGAGACCUAUCGUCAUAGUUAUUUGUAACGUUGACGAUUCAAAAACGAAACAAACUUAUUUACGCUGUAAAUAAGUUUAAAGUGCACAAAGUACAAUAUACUUGUAUGUAUACACCUAUAUGUAUAUUGAAUUCAGUGCAAGAAUGGUGGCAAGCCGCUAGUAUCGAGAAAGAGGGGUUAAGACGCGCUAAUCUCCGAUGUCGCGGUUAACGGGACAGAGCGAUCGAGCAACGUGCACACGGCUCUGGCAGUCUGACGCGAAGAGACAGGUAGGCAGGUAGGCAAGUAGGCAGGCAGGCAGGCAGAAAGGAAUCGUCCUAUCGCGUGCCGCGCGCGACUCUACUCGCGGAAGGUCAGUGACAGAAACGGACGUCCCGCCGCGUGGCGUGGCGUGGCGUGGCGUGGCGUCGCGUCGCGUCGCGUCGCGGGCUUCUCCUAAAACAAAGAGUCAUCGGCCUUUAUGCAGGAUCUCCGCGCCGCGCCGCGCCUCCGCCCACAGGAUAUUCAUCGGUUCCGCGGGGGUGAUUCGCCCCUUCCGCGCAUUCCAGGGGUAAAUGCGUCGAAGCGCGUGCGCCUCAUGAGCGACGCGCGAGGUGCUGCGACGUGGUGCGACGCUCGCCGCACCAAGUCUCGCGGACGCAUCGCGUCGGUUGUUGCUAUUUUCGUCGACGGAAUGAGAUCAGUGCGCUAAAUUUAUGACGAAGCGUGAGCAGCACGCGCGAACGAGCGACAUCCUCCACUCUAUGCACGCCUUGAAGCGCCCGCGUCGCUACGUUAGCGCUCACUGAGCCACUGAGCCCGUGCCGCGCUUUAGUACGUCGUUAAAUAAUUCCCCUGCCAAGUAGUUCUCAGGCUCAGGACUGUAUUAUCAGUCGGUGUUCCCUUCUCUCUCUUGUGUCCAGAUUUUCCAAGAUUCUGAAAUUGGCUUAUCAAGAGUUGGUCACCUCCAGGAGAGCCGAGAGCCCGAAGAUUAACUCACGUUCGCGAAACAACGCGCGAGCUGUACCCUCUGCGCUAGUGUAUUUCUCAUCCGAGAAUCGUGUCCGGUACUCCGUAAAUGAAAACGGACGCAUAUGUUUCGUAUUAAUCAGGGGACAUGCACACGGUUUUUAACGUGAAUGCGCGUGGUAUUCCGUGCAACUUUUCCAUUCACGAAAAAGUUAAAUUAGUAUUAAAUAUUGAGUCACGCAAGCACGCGCGGGCAUAAAGUUUCGAUUUUUCAAGAAGCAAUGCAAAAUAUAUAUUUUAUAAAGUUGGUAGUCAUUCGUAACGUUUGGAUAUUAUGAAAAGCAGCACUAUCAGUCGUGAUUAUAUGUCUAGUUGUUUAUUCCGUUGAUUUUUUAAAGUUACACUUGUUAUACUUAUUCGUUUCCUGUUUUUGAUGUUUUUUUAAUAUUGCGAAAAGUUGAAAUGUGUUCCUAAAGAGCAGUACUUUGCAUAAUCUCGCUUCAAGAUGGCUACGCCCUGACGAAGUUGCCUCAACUUUCGGGCGAUAGUGUACAUCGGGCGGCGAUCGAUGCCGGAUGCCAUUUUCGAAUUCGAAUUCCGGCCGCGGACGAAUAUCGGAGAAACACGCUCGAACUUCAAAUUAUCCCAAGUUGCUGGUGCGAGUCGACGUUCCAGUUCCGUAAGUUAUAUUAUGCGAGUACGCAAAUAACUGCGAGGUGGGAUUUUAAAAGGAAGGCCAACGUGCGUUCGCCGAUGCGUAUAAAGCCGAUAUCUCACGCGCGAGCUCGAGCACCGGAAGUGUGUUUACACGCGGGUGUUCGUUCCAUCGUAAUACCUAUGCAGCGAAAUAGGCUGUAAUGGAACAAAGUCAUGCGAUUUUGCAUGAAAAAAAUUUAUUCGAUCAUUUAACAUCGAAAGAGAGUAAUCGAGCAAUCACGUGUGCAUUGUAACGUGAAGUUUGAUUACGGAAAGUUGUAUUACUUUGUAAAUUAAACGAUCCUAAAAAAGUUUCUUUAA